UUUAGGAUUUAGGGUUUAGGGUUUAGGGUUUAGGGUUUAGGGUUUAGAUUUUAGGGUUUAGAGUUUAGGGUUUAGGGUUUAGAGUUUAGGGUUAGGGUUUAUGGUUUAGGGUUUAGGGUUUAGAGUUUAGGGUUAGGGUUUAUGGUUUAGGGUUUAGGGUUUAGAGUUUAGGGUUAGGGUUUAUGGUUUAGGGUUUAGGGUUUAGAGUUUAGGGUUAGGGUUUAGAGUUUAGGGUUUAGGGUUUAGAGUUUAGGGUUAGGGUUUAUGGUUUAGGGUUUAGGGUUUAGAGUUUAGGGUUUAGGGU
rnacentral:lncRNA from 1 species